rnacentral:rRNA from 1 species
GACGAAGGGGGCUAGCGUUGUUCGGAAUUACUGGGCGUAAAGCGCGUGUAGGCGGUUAUCCAAGUUGGAUGUGAAAGCCUUGAGCUUAACUCAAGAAAUGCAUUCAGGACUGGGUGACUAGAGGACCGGAGAGGAUAGUGGAAUUCCCAGUGUAGUGGUGAAAUACGUAGAGAUUGGGAAGAACACCAGUGGCGAAGGCGGCUAUCUGGACGGUUUCUGACGCUAAGACACGAAAGCGUGGGGAGCAAACAGG